rnacentral:rRNA from 1 species
GCCAGACUCCUACGGGAGGCAGCAGUGGGGAAUAUUGGGCAAUGGGCGCAAGCCUGACCCAGCAACGCCGCGUGAAGGAAGAAGGCUUUCGGGUUGUAAACUUCUUUUAAGAGGGAAGAGAAGAAGACGGUACCUCUUGAAUAAGCCACGGCUAACUGCGUGCCAGCAGCCGCGGUAAUACGUAGGUGGCAAGCGUUAUCCGGAUUUACUGGGUGUAAAGGGCGUGUAGGCGGGACUGCAAGUCAGAUGUGAAAACCACGGGCUCAACCUGUGGCCUGCAUUUGAAACUGUAGUUCUUGAGUACUGGAGAGGCAGACGGAAUUCCUAGUGUAGCGGUGAAAUGCGUAGAUAUUAGGAGGAACACCAGUGGCGAAGGCGGUCCGCUGGACAGCAACUGACGCUGAGGCGCGAAAGCGUGGGGAGCAAACAGGAUUAGAUACCCUAGUA